rnacentral:tRNA from 6 species
GGGCGCAUAGCUCAGCGGUAGAGCGCUUCCCUUACAAGGAAGAUGUCACAGGUUCGAUCCCUGUUGCGCCCA